CACGUAGGAGGCGAGCGUUGUCCGGAAUCAUUGGGCGUAAAGAGCGCGCAGGCGGCUUGACAAGUCGGGUGUGAAAUCCCGGGGCUCAACCCCGGGACUGCAUUCGAUACUGUCAGGCUAGAGGUAGGUAGGGGAGAUCGGAAUUCCUGGUGUAGCGGCGAAAUGCGCAGAUAUCAGGAGGAACACCGGUGGCGAAGGCGGAUCUCUGGGCCUUACCUGACGCUCAGGCGCGAAAGCUAGGGGAGCGAACAGG
rnacentral:rRNA from 1 species